GCCCUGGUAGUGUAGUCUGGCACAGCAUUUUAUUUAAUGCUGCAGCACCUAUCAUGAAGCCUUGUCGAAAGGCUUCGACCCGGGUUCGAAACAUCUUCCCGAAACAGAGAGGGUGAGAGCUUCCCGGCCAGGGCG
rnacentral:tRNA from 1 species